GACGAACGCUGGCGGCGUGCUUAACACAUGCAAGUCGAACGGAAAGGCCCUGCUUUUGUGGGGUGCUCGAGUGGCGAACGGGUGAGUAACACGUGAGUAACCUGCCCUUGACUUUGGGAUAACUUCAGGAAACUGGGGCUAAUACCGGAUAGGAGCUCCUGCUGCAUGGUGGGGGUUGGAAAGUUUCGGCGGUUGGGGAUGGACUCGCGGCUUAUCAGCUUGUUGGUGGGGUAGUGGCUUACCAAGGCUUUGACGGGUAGCCGGCCUGAGAGGGUGACCGGCCACAUUGGGACUGAGAUACGGCCCAGACUCCUACGGGAGGCAGCAGUGGGGAAUAUUGCACAAUGGGCGGAAGCCUGAUGCAGCAACGCCGCGUGCGGGAUGACGGCCUUCGGGUUGUAAACCGCUUUCGCCUGUGACGAAGCGUGAGUGACGGUAAUGGGUAAAGAAGCACCGGCUAACUACGUGCCAGCAGCCGCGGUGAUACGUAGGGUGCGAGCGUUGUCCGGAUUUAUUGGGCGUAAAGGGCUCGUAGGUGGUUGAUCGCGUCGGAAGUGUAAUCUUGGGGCUUAACCCUGAGCGUGCUUUCGAUACGGGUUGACUUGAGGAAGGUAGGGGAGAAUGGAAUUCCUGGUGGAGCGGUGGAAUGCGCAGAUAUCAGGAGGAACACCAGUGGCGAAGGCGGUUCUCUGGGCCUUUCCUGACGCUGAGGAGCGAAAGCGUGGGGAGCGAACAGGCUUAGAUACCCUGGUAGUCCACGCUGUAAACGGUGGGUACUAGGUGUGGGGUCCAUUCCACGGGUUCCGUGCCGUAGCUAACGCUUUAAGUACCCCGCCUGGGGAGUACGGCCGCAAGGCUAAAACUCAAAGGAAUUGACGGGGCCCCGCACAAGCGGCGGAGCAUGCGGAUUAAUUCGAUGCAACGCGUAGAACCUUACCUGGGUUUGACAUGGAUCGGGAGUGCUCAGAGAUGGGUGUGCCUCUUUUGGGGUCGGUUCACAGGUGGUGCAUGCCUGUCGUCAGCUCGUGUCGUGAGAUGUUGGGUUAAGUCCCGCAACGAGCGCAACCCUUGUUCACUGUUGCCAGCACGUUAUGGUGGGGACUCAGUGGAGACCGCCGGGGUCAACUCGGAGGAAGGUGGGGAUGACGUCAAGUCCUCAUGCCCCUUAUGUCCAGGGCUUCACGCAUGCUACAAUGGCUGGUACAGAGAGUGGCGAGCCUGUGAGGGUGAGCGAAUCUCGGAAAGCCGGUCUCAGUUCGGAUUGGGGUCUGCAACCCGACCUCAUGAAGUCGGAGUCGCUAGUAAUCGCAGAUCAGCAACGCUGCGGUGAAUACGUUCCCGGG
rnacentral:rRNA from 1 species